ensembl:lncRNA
UUUUUGUUUACCUGUCAUUGUCAUUAUAUUAUCACAAUUUUGUAAGGAUGUUAUUUCUUUGUGAAAAGUGAAAAUAAUAAUAAAAAAAAGAAAAAAAAAAGAAUGAAGAGUGAUGUGGAAGCAACCGAAAUAUCUGAUUUAAAGAGGCAGAUCGCUGACUUAAAGGUUCAAAUGACUGCUCCUGAGAUGUACAGACACAAUUCUGAGAAGUUCCUUCAGUCCAAAAGCAGCACCAAACACACACUACCUGAACCAGGCACAACAGAGUGGUCUAGAGAUGGUAGACUGCCUGAUAGUAGACCUCGUCCAGGGUAUUGUUUUAGAUGCGGGGAAGAUGGUCAUCUUGCCAGCAGCUGUAGCAAUGCUCCUGAUCUUGCUAAAGUUGCAGAGAAAAGACGCAAGCUGAGGGAGCGACAAGCCCAGUGGGAUGCCCACCACGAUGCAGCUAUGAGACCUUUAAACUGAGGAUGGUCUCUGUAGAAGGGCAUACAGAGACUGGACAGGGAAAGAAUUGCCCUAAGGGAUUUAGACACCCGUCCAACCGAAAUGCAUAUGACACAUUCCCAUUAAGGGACUUACCAAGAGGAUUAGUAGGUGUAAAGUGCACUGCCCAAAUUACUGUUGGUGAGAAAAAGGUUUCCUGCCUUCUGGACACAGGGUCCCAGGUAACCACGGAUCCCUGGUCGUUUUAUGAAGAACAUUUGUCAAAUUGUCCUCUUAAGUCAUUGGAUAACUUGCUGCAAGUGGAAGGGGCGAAUGGACAAACAGUGCCUUAUCUCGGAUAUGUGGAACUGACUCUAAAAUUCCCCAGAGAGUUCCUUGGAACAGAGACAGAGGUAUCUACUUUAGCCCUGGUAGUUCCAGAUUUGAUGAACACGCCUCAAGUUCUGAUUGGCACAAAUUCAUUAGAUGCCCUUUACUGUAACUAUGUCCAGCAACCGGUAUCCUUGCCUCAAUCUAACUCUCAUGGUUAUCGUGCAGUCCAAAGGGUUUUGGAAGCAAGACACAGACAAGCAAGUUCUGAUGUAGUAGGCUGGGUGAAAUUCAAGGGACAUGUUCCAGAGUUAGUACCUGCGGGAUGUACAGUAGUCCUUGACGGACAUGUUCUGGUUAACUGCCACCCUGUUGAUAAAUGGGUAGCCUUAGAAUCACCAACUUCACCCGCCUUACCUGGUGGUUUGCUGGUUGCCAGCUGUUUGCAUACCUUACCCUGCAAGAGGCAACACCAGUUACCUGUUGUGUUAAGGAAUGAAACCCAGACCGACAUUACCAUCCAUCCCCAAACUAUAAUCGCUGAAAUGCGGGCUGUCCAAGAAGUGAUGCAGAGUGGACAAACAAGUUCCAGUGCUGUGAAUGAAAAACUACCUGCUCUUUCCAAUCUCAAAUUCAACUUUGGAGAUUCUCCCUUGACCUCUGAAUGGAAAAAACGGAUUACAGAUCAAUUGAAUAACAUGCCCGAAGUCUUUGCUAUGCACGACUUAGAUUACGGUCAUACAGAAAAAGUAACUCACCGUAUAAAGCUUAACGACGAAACCCCUUUUAAACACAGGCCUCGACCCAUCCAUCCUCAGGAUAUUGAUGCAGUGCGGAAACAUUUGCAAGAGUUGUUAGCUGCUGGAAUCAUCCGAGAGUCAGAAUCUCCCUUUGCUUCCCCCAUAGUGGUUGUAAAGAAGAAAGACAAUUCUGUACAUCUGUGUAUUGAUUUCAGAAAGCUAAAUACACAAACCAUUAAAGAUGCAUAUGCCCUGCCGAAUCUGGAGGAAGUCUUUUCAGCGUUGACAGGUUCAAAAUGGUUCUCUGUCCUUGACUUAAAAUCGGGAUAUUAUCAGAUCGAAAUGGAGGAAGCUGACAAGUGUAAGACUGCCUUUGUGUGUCCCCUGGGGUUCUGGGAGUUCAAUAGGAUGCCCCAGGGGAUCACCAACGCCCCUAGUACGUUUCAAAGGCUCAUGGAGCGAUGUAUGGGUGAUUUGAAUAGGAAGGAGGUGUUGGUCUUCAUCGACGAUCUGAUAAUUUUCUCUGAAAGCUUGGAAGAGC